GCCAGGUGUGGUGGUGCACGCCUGUAGUCCCAGCUACUUGGGAGGCUGAGGCAGGAGAAUCACCUGAGCCCAGGAAGUCAAGGCUGCAGUGAACUGUGAUUGUGCCACUGCACUCCAGCCUGAGUGACACAGUGAGACCCUGUCUUAA
ensembl:misc_RNA Metazoa_SRP Metazoan signal recognition particle RNA